rnacentral:rRNA from 1 species
UACGUAGGCAGCAAGCGUUGUUCGGAGUUACUGGGCGUAAAGGGUGCGUAGGCGGCCUGAUAAGUAGGGGGUGAAAUCCUGUGGCUUAACUGCAGGGCUGCCUCCUAGACUGUUAGGCUCGAGCACGGUAGAGGCAGAUGGAAUUCCCGGUGUAGCGGUGGAAUGCGUAGAGAUCGGGAAGAACAUCGGUGGCGAAGGCGGUCUGCUGGGCCGUUGCUGACGCUGAGGCGCGACAGCGUGGGGAGCAAACAGG